rnacentral:lncRNA from 1 species
AUUAGCUCCUUUGGCUUCCAAUAUCAUUUCUAUGCGGAUGACACGCAAAUCUACUUGUCCUCUCCUGAUCUCUCCCCGUCCCUCUUGACUAGUGUCUCUGACUGCCUCUCUGCUGUUUCUAACUGGAUGGCUGCCCACUUCCUUAACCUAAACUUGACCAAAACUGAAAUUCUGGUCUUUCCUCCCUCAAGUGUUGUUACUCCUGUGUCUGUCUCCCUCCAAGUCAACGGUGCUACCAUCAGCUCCACCACGCAGGCUCGCUGCCUAGGUGUUCUCUUUGACUCCGACCUCUCCUUCA